GAACGGGUGGUGGAGUAGGUCAAACACGCAGGGCUUAAAUUCCUGUCCUCAAUGGUUCGUGGGUUCAAAUCCCACCCCGUUCA
rnacentral:tRNA from 1 species